AACGCACAUUGCGCCCUGUGGUAUUCCGCAGGGCAUGCCUGUUCGAGCGUCAGUACAACACUCAAGCCUAGCUUGGUCUUGGGCCUCGCCGGAAACGGCGGGCCUUAAAAGUAGUGGCGGCGCCCGCUGGGCUCUAAGCGUAGUAAUACUCCUCGCUAUAGGGACUCGGUGGAUGCUGGCCAGCAACCCCCAACUUUCUAAGUUUGACCUCGGAUCAGGUAGGGAUACCCGCUGAACUUAA
rnacentral:misc_RNA from 1 species